AUCGCUUCUCGGCCUUUUGGCUAAGAUCAAGUGUUCUUAUCAGUUUAAAAAGGGGAUAAAUAGUUUACAACAUGACUUUAACUAAGAUUAGUUUAGACUUACUUUGGUAGGCAAUGGAAACUGCAGAUGCUUGAGCAAAUCAUGAUAUGGUCUGAGCUGUCCUCUUAGGACUAUUCAUCCUUC